rnacentral:misc_RNA from 1 species
CCAAGGCAGGGUUGAUGAUUGGGGUUAAGUCGUAACAAGGUAUCCCUACCGGAAGGUGGGGANGGAUCACCUCCUUUCUAUGGAGUUUAGUUUCUAAUAAGAAACCAAGACAACAAGAAAAAUUAGAUGGAUGAUUUAUUGGAUUACUUCUUUUGUUCUGUUUAGUUUUCAGGGAUUGUUUUCUCUGAGCAAUUGUUCUUUAAAAACUGGAUAAUAGACAUCUUUUAAAAAAAUAANANNAUUUUUAUCUUG